CGGGAAUUCAGCUGGUCUCAUUUAAAUGAUGAGUAUUAAUGUUGAGAAAUAUGGAGAAGACGUCCUUAGCCGUUUGCACUUUAUCCUAAAGCGUAGCAAGCUCAAAAAUGACGAUUGGGAUACAAAGUGUUUUUGUGAGAUUUGUCGAUCGAUUCUCUCCUUAAUUGAUCUGUUCUUAUAUGAUACCUGAAGCUUCUCAGAGUCAAGGCCUAUCAAGCGUUCUAACCAAUUUUAAAGAAAAAAUUCAGGGCUUGGAAUCACAUUUUCUAAAAAAUCAAUUUAGAUUUCGAAACUUGAGGUUGAUGAGCCAAGAUCCAGUGAUGUUAUAUAGCGUUCACAGGAGACUUUAUAGAGGAAUAUGCCUAUAGUCCUGAAGUUGAUGUAAGAAAAUUGGUUGGAGCAAUCAUUGAUAAAUUGGAAAAUCCACAGGAAUUUCGUGUAUGCUUCCAUCUAUUUCAAGACUUUUUCUUUGUUGAUGUAGAUGUCUAGCAUUUAUCCUACUUAUAAUUUGUUAGCUUGGCAGUAUCUACUUAAAUAUGUUCCUAGUAGCUACUAGCUAAAGGAACAGCUAGCAAAUCCUAAAGAUAUCAAGUGUGGAUCAAGUAUAGCAGGUUUCUUAUUUCAAUUGGCAAGUCAUUUAGGUCAAUUAGUGGUAAGUUUGUUUUUAUGGUUUAGAAACAUUUUUUGUGUAGUGUCUUGUGCGUCCUAAAUA